rnacentral:RNase_MRP_RNA from 1 species
AAAUCGGCAUGGGGAAAGUCUACCGACAACAGCGCGGAAAACACACCGCCGGGCACGAUACCAAAGCCGCCCGCUUUGAU